CACCACUCACCACUUACCACCACUACCCAUCUCCACCACGCGCCUCCUCCCUUCUCUCUCUCCCCCUCCUCCAUGUUCCCUCUCUUUCUCCUUCAUCCCCUUCCCCCCUCCAUUAUCCCCCUCUUCCUCCCUUCCUCUCCCUCUCUUUCUCCUUGUUCCCUAUCCCUCCUCCCUUCCCCCUAGACCCACUCGGAGAUUGCCGCCCAACCUUCCUUCGAAUAUGGUUGCGACUAGAAGGUCAUGACUAGUGCAACCAAAAGGUCGCAGCUAGAGCUGCUGCUGGUUCUUGGGAGAGGAGAGGAGAGGGAGGAGGAAGGAGAAGGAGGAUGAGGAAGGAGAGGAGGAGCAACGGUGAGGCAAUAGUGAUGGUGGAGGAAGGAGUGGUAGAUGGUGAUGGUGAUUGGAGGAAGAAAAAAAGGUGAUACGAUUUAUUUAUAUAUUUAUUUAUUUUUUAAGUUGUAUUUAAAAUAUAAGGAGUAUUUUUUGGUGGUGUUUUUGAAGUGUGUU
rnacentral:lncRNA from 1 species